GGCCAAGCUACUAAGGGUAUAUGGUGGAUGUCUAGGCGUGAUGAGGCGAUGAAGGACGUGGUAGGCUGCGAUAAGCCCCGGCGAGCUGUC
rnacentral:rRNA from 1 species